AUGUGCAUACUCCAUAGAAAAAAACACCAAAAAAAAGAGGGGGUGAGGAGGAGGAGUUGGAGGAGCAGGAGGAGGAGGAUUGGAGCGCAGGGGAAUUUGGAGGUUAUUAUGGCGCUGAAUUAUCCGUCGUGCUCAUUCUUGGUGAGCGACGAGUGCUCUGCCCUGAUGAGGGGGUGUGGAUGCUGGUCGGAGGAGGCCUCACCCCUCUCGUCCCCAGGGGUCAACUCCAGGCGCUGGGAUGAUUUCGAGCCCGACCCUGCGGAUCUAUUGCCUGCGGAUCCCUUCGGGAUGAACUUGGGGAACACCAUCACUGCAGCCAUCGCCAGUUGCCUCGACCUCACGGUCAUGUCUGGUGCAGGGCGUUUUGGAAGCAGUGACGGUGGCACGGCCGACUUGAGUUUUUACCUGAAUCAUGCUAUUGCCGUCUCCCGGGGGCCAUCAUCUUACCUCCCGGGUGGCUUCGGGCGUGCUUUUGAGGGGCCCUUUGUGUUUGGAGGCCUUUAUGAGGCCGGAGGCGCCAACUGCUGUCAAGGGUUGCCUCCCCUUGUGUCCUGCUCACGCUCAAUUGUACCUGGAGAGGAUCCAUCUACUUCUGGCAGUGCUGCAUUGUUGUGCCGUGAUGGAGUUGAUGCCAUGGGAGCGUCCUGCUCACGCCCAAUUGUACCUGGAGAGGAUCCAUCUACUUCUGGCAGUGCUGCAUUGUUGUGCUGUGAAGGAGUUGAUGCCGUGGGAGCGUCCUGCUCACGGCCAAUUGUACCUGGAGAGGAUCCAUCUACUUCUUGCAGUGCUGCAUUGGUGUGCCGUGAUGGAGUUGAUGCCGUAGGGGCGUCAUGCUCACGGCCAAUUGUACCCGUAGAGGAUCCAUCUCCUUCUGGCAGUGCUGCAUUGGUGUGCUGUGAUGGAGUUGAUGCUGUGGGAAGUGCACCACAUGACGGGAUGAUGUACGCUCUUGCCUAUCUUGGGCUUCGUGACAUCCUAGCUACAGAGAUGGUGUGCAAGUCUUUGCAUUCGUGGAUCCGCAGCGAGUUAUCGUGGAAGUGUAUCCACAUUGAACCGGUAUUGAGCGGGAAGAUCUCUGAUCCUGAUCUUCUAUUUCUGACACAGAAGAUUCCAGGUGAUUUGCAGUGUCUAAAUAUAAAUGACUGCAUAAAUAUCACCGACAAUGGUUUGAAUGCUGUUCUCCAAAGCAAUCCGACGUUAACAAAGUUGAGUAUUGCACGCUGCCCGCGGUUAACUUUGGAUGGCCUUAUUGCCAAUCUAAAGUCAUUUAAUAUGAAAGCAGUGUCGGGUAUUAAGAGCCUCAGAAUUGACAAAAACUUCAAUUUACCAAAAGAGGAUUAUGAGGAGUUAUUAUCCUUGUUGAGCAUCGACAAGAGACAGGAGUUGCACAACCGGGCUCCGCGAUUCCGUCAUUCUAAUCAUUUUUUAUUAGAUUGCAAUGACGGAUAUGCUCUUGAUAUUGAGAUGUGCCCCAUCUGUCAAAGUUACAAACUUGUUUUUGACUGCCCUGAAGUGGAGUGCAGUGACAAGAGAUCUGGCAAAUGCCGAGCAUGUGAGGUUUGCAUCAAGAGAUGCCGGCAGUGUGGAAGGUGCUUAGAACGAAAUGAGAAGUUUGAAGAGAAAUUUGAUCUGGUCUACCUUUGCUACAAGUGUCGAGGCGAUCCGGCUUCACCAUCUCUCGGUGUGGAAAAGGAUCUGGUCUCCAUUUUAUCCAGUGGAAGAAUACCUUCUCCUUGA
rnacentral:rRNA from 1 species